CCCAGAUCGUUUACCGUGAAAAAAUUAGAGUGUUCAAAGCAGGCAGAUCCAAUUUUCUGCCACCGAAUACAUUAGCAUGGGAUAAUGGAAUAGGACCCUGUUCUCCUAUUUUCAGUUGGUUUUGGCAGCGCGAGGACUAGGGUAAUGAUUAAUAGGGAUAGUUGGGGGCAUUAAUAUUUAAUUGUCAGAGGUGAAAUUCUUGGAUUUAUGAAAGAUUAACUUCUGCGAAAGCAUCUGCCAAGGAUGUUUUCAUUAAUCAAGAACGAAAGUUAGGGGAUCGAAGACGAUCAGAUACCGUCGUAGUCUUAACCAUAAACGAUGCCGACCAGCGAUUAGGAGACGUUGAAUACAAAACACCACCAUCGGUGCGGUCGUCCUUGGCGUCGGUUUCGGCCGGCGCGGGGGCGGCUUAGCCCGGUGGCACCGGUGAAUGACUCCCCUAGCAGCUUGUGAGAA
rnacentral:rRNA from 1 species